GAGGGUAGAGCUCAGUGGCAGAGCACAUGUGUAACAUGCACGAGGUCCUGGGUUCAAUCCCCAGCACCUCCU
rnacentral:tRNA from 1 species